UACGGGGGGUGCGAGCGUUGUCCGGAAUCACUGGGCGUAAAGGGCGCGUAGGCGGCUUUAUAAGUCGGGGGUGAAAGCCUGUGGCUCAACCACAGAAUUGCCUUCGAUACUGUAGAGCUUGAGACCGGAAGAGGUAAGUGGAACUGCGAGUGUAGAGGUGAAAUUCGUAGAUAUUGGGAGGAACACCAGUGGCGAAGGCGGCUCACUGGACCGGUACUGACGCUGAUGCGCGAAAGCGUGGGGAGCAAACGGGG
rnacentral:rRNA from 1 species